GACCCUUCUUUACAUGUUUCCACAUGUGUAAUUUGUCCUAGACUAGUGUUUCUCAACUUGUGAGUUGUGACCCCUUUGGAGUUUCACAGGGGUCACACGUCAGAUAUCCUGCAUAUCAGAUAUUUGCAUUACAACUCCUAACUGUAGCACAAUUACAGUUAUUUUGUUGUAACAAAAUAAUUUUAUGAUUGGGUAUAGUCACACCAUUAGGAACUGUGUCAAAGGGUCACAGCAGUAGGAAGGUUGAGAACUACUGUGCUAGACAGCUUAGUCGAUAGAAUUAGAACUAGGUAAGCCUGUGAUAAAGAUGGACUCACUGUGUGUGAGCUGGAAGUCAGAUGUCCUUCCAGCUCCACAAAGCAGAAUAGUUGUCACUUUGUGAUUUUGUAUGUGGUUGUGUAUACCCAAUCAUUGUUAUAUCUUAAUGGUUAUAAAACAGGGAGGAAAUAAAAUCAUUUUUCUAAUAAAGCCAGAAAUCACAGUAAAUAUACACCAAAACUAAUGUUUUAUGACAUCUGUAAUUAAUAUUAUUAUGUGAAAUAACUUAGAAAAAUAAAUUAAUAUUCUUGUACCAAAGAAACAUUGUACCAGUUGGAGUUGAUGUUGAAUGGGUAAAUUGCUUAUUACCAAUUUCAGCUCUGCCUUUGUACUGGUAUAAUUCAUCCUUCUGAACGAGGACCUGUGGGUUAAUAUGCCAUUACAUAAAAGCCUUAAAAAUCAUUCUGUCUUGGACAGAAUUGCACAAGCACAGAGGAGUAUGCUUGGGGAACAUCUCUGCCAUUUCUUCUUUUCUGUUUCCUAGCCUAUCCUUGCAUGAUGGGACCAAUUAAUAUGCAAACACUGACUGCAGACUUUGUUAGCUCCCAUUAAAGUUAGUAUCAUGCAACUCGGAUCUCAGGGCUCAUCUUACAAAUAUUCAAGUCAGGUGAAGUUCAGUUGUUAGUUUAGUUCUUGAGACAGUUGAUUGGAUCACAUAUGCUCUUGACCACCCCACAAGGAAGCAUCACUGGACUCUAUCUCCCAUAGCUGUCCUGUCCAAAUCAGAGUCUCCAACAAAACCUAAGCAGCCACACGAUGGUCUGGGAAGCCAAUGUGGCAACAGGGACAUUCAUGGACAUGUAGUAAUGAGAUAGCCAAAUGCUAAAUUCUUCAAGCGCUGUGGGGUUGUCACUUAGACCAUUGUAAAAGAGGUGUAUGCAGACACACCUGUGAGGCCUCACAGGGUAGAUGAAAGCGUAGAUCUACAGAGGGUGAGUGAUCUCAGGAGAAUCUCCAAAAUGAGGCACCCACUUCACUGUGGAAGAUUUUUAUCAGGAGCAUUAGAGAGCAUACUUGAGAAACAUUAUCUUAGUCAGUGUUCUGUUGUGAAGAGACACCAUGACCAAGGCAGUUCUUACAAAAUAAAACAUUUAAGUAGAGCCUUGCUUACCGUUUCAGAGGCUUAGUCCAACAUCCUCAUGGUGAGAAGCAUGGCAGCACUCAAGCAGACAUGACGCUGGAGCAAUGGCUGAGAGC
rnacentral:lncRNA from 1 species